rnacentral:rRNA from 1 species
AUGUGUGUACCAAAGAAGAAAGGGGCCCUGGAAUUUAGAGAUGUACACGGUUCUAACCUUGCUAUAUUAGCAUAGCAGUGUUGGCGACGUAUUCAGAACUCGGACUCCUUAUGUGCAUGUGUGUUGGGUGCAAAGUAUUAUCUCGACGGGAACAUAUUGAAGGUCGGACCAAAGAAGGAAUUUUCCUAUACAUGGCAGAGUAUCGUAGCAGGCAUCCAAGCUUUUCAAGGGGGUUGCAUUUGGCAAGUGGGAUCAGAUGAACAAAUUAAUAUUUGGCAGGACCCUUGGAUCCCAUGAAGCCCUUCAUAGAAAGUUAUCACCCCUAGAGGUGUAACUAUGCUCAGAUAUGUGGAAGAAAUCAUAGAUUCUCACCAUGUACGGUGGGAUGAAACCUUGAUAAGAGAUGUUUAUUCUCCGGUAGAUGCUCAUAGAAUCCUGCAAAUCCCGUUGAAUGUUCACCUAGUGAAGGAUUUUGUCACAUGGAUGGGAACCUUAUCAGUACAGUCGACAUACCACGAAGGAUUUGAGCAUUAGUAUGGCCAACACCUUGUUCGAGGAGAUGGUUAGGGAAACGUGUACACAAACACAAUUUGGAAGGAGAUCUGGAACCUCAAAACCCCAGGAAAAACUAAAAAGGUUGCGUGGAAGACCCUUAAUGGAUUGUUACCUUGCUAUGGAAUCCAUGCGAACAGACACAUACCCUUUAUCCCUCAAUGUAUGUUAGGUGCGGUUGGAGUUGAGGACAUAAAACAUUGUCUGUUUAUUUGCAAAAGGGCAAAAAAAGUCUGUGCAGAGUUGGGUUUACAGAGCAUCAUCGCAGAUGUUGUACGGCAGGAUCGAUCGGGGCCUGUUACUACUGAGAUCUUAUGUCAGACUAAUUCGGUCAAAGAUGGAAUCCCUACUGUUGAACUCAUGAUAGUAGCGGCUUGGUAUCUCUAG